ACGGUGGCUCCUGCCGCACAUAUCGGUCAAGGUUUGGGAGGGCAGCACUUGAUCAGCUCGGCAAAGGGCCAAUGCCAGGUGCAGGUGAAAGUGAAAGUGAGUUCAAUUCGAUGGGAAACAGACUUCAACACAAGACCGGCUGACAGAUGUCAUCUUUCGGGCUAACCGAGCCGUGGAUGUAGCCUAGCUAACCAACCAAACCCAAAGUUGUUGGAAAAACUGAGAAUUGACAUACUGUAAAAGAGAGGUAAUAAAUAACCAACGUUAUUACACUACACUUUAAGGAUACGUCAAGACACAAAGCAGUUGGAAUAAGUUGGCCUACAACUCUGGAGCUGAAAACGAUGCUAACGAACUAACUAACGUGCAGCCUAGCUUAAUUAGCGCACACCUGUGAGCUCUGCUUCUCCGAGCUGGGAGCUCUGGCUAAAGAAGAGGACAAUUAGCGAGAUGACUCACAUCCGGUCAGUGACUUGGAAUUUAAUAUAGCCAUGCCAUCAACGAGGAAAUACGAGGACAUACCUGCUUUAAGGUGGACGGCCUGUUUGGCACUUCAAACCGCAGCACCCCUGCAUCUCGUCUGUUAACAGUUAAUGAUCUGUUAACAAGGGUCGGCGGUCGGUCAGGAAAACAAUCUUAGAUCUCUAAAUAAGCUGGACUCGUCUACUGGUGAGGACUGCCUGUCGGUGUGAAAGGGAACUAAAGGGGCUGCUGUGAUUGGCUAUUACUGAAGUUAUCCAACUCCAAAAGCAAUGUUUUCCUCGCCGAAGUUAAUACACUUGCAGACCGUGCUUGCUCCCGGCCUCACCUGAUAGGGACACCAUUUGGUGCAGCGGAAACUGCGUGGACCCGAGACUGGGCCGUGAAAUUGGAGUUCCAGGAGGGCAUUAACCUGGCUGGGUUGUGGCUUCAUAAGAGCCCAUACAGAGUGGCCUCACUUAUUCUCCCUGGAUGUGAAAAGACCAACCUAUUAUUUCUAUUUCUCUCCUGAUGUUUCAUAAAAUGUCAAAAUAGUUACGGCUCAUCCUGGAGCACUUUAAACUUUUAUAUGACUUUAACUCCAUGCCGUGAUUUCACAGAAAAAUAGAUGUUGUUGCCUUCUUCAGGCCCUCUGGACAAAUUAAAUGCAUAUUACUUCUUUUUUUUUGUUACCUUCUUGACAUUAUAAAUCCAUUAUCAUUUAGAUGAAAUUGGCGUGCAAUCUGAAUCUCUCAAUGUUCCUUUCCACAAUUGCUUUUAAUUGCUUUGUUGCCAAGAGCAUAAAUUAUACAAUUUCUUUAUAAUCAACUCAUUUCGGUAUGUUAUCUCUGUCACUGUUUGCACAAACAUU